AUUGAACGCUGGCGGCAUGCCUUACACAUGCAAGUCGAACGGCAGCACGGGGCAACCUGGUGGCGAGUGGCGAACGGGUGAGUAAUGCAUCGGAACGUACCUUUCAGUGGGGGAUAACGUAGCGAAAGUUACGCUAAUACCGCAUAUUCUGUGAGCAGGAAAGCAGGGGAUUGCAAGACCUUGCGCUGAUUGAGCGGCCGAUGUCAGAUUAGCUAGUUGGUGAGGUAAAGGCUCACCAAGGCGACGAGCUGUAGCGGGUCUGAGAGGAUGAUCAGCCACACUGGAACUGAGACACGGUCCAGACUCCUACGUGAGGCAGCAGUGGGGAAUUUUGGACAAUUGGGGGAACCCUGAUCCAGCCAUGCCGCGUGAGUGAAGAAGGCCUUCGGGUUGUAAAGCUCUUUCGGCCGGGAAGAAAUCGCACAGGCUAAUACCUUGUGUGGAUGACGGUACCGGAGUAAGAAGCACCGGCUAACUACGUGCCAGCAGCCGCCGUAAAAC
rnacentral:rRNA from 1 species